UACGUAGGGGGCAAGCGUUGUCCGGAAUUAUUGGGCGUAAAGCGCGCGCAGGCGGUUCUUUUAAGUCUGGUGUUUAAACCCGAGGCUCAACUUCGGGUCGCACUGGAAACUGGGGGACUUGAGUGCAGAAGAGGAGAGUGGAAUUCCACGUGUAGCGGUGAAAUGCGUAGAUAUCAGGAGGAACACCAAUAGCGAAGGCAGCUCGCUGGGACGUACUGACACUGAGGCGCGAAAGCGUGGGGAGCGAACAGG
rnacentral:rRNA from 1 species